rnacentral:rRNA from 1 species
GAUGAACGCUGGCGGCGUGCCUAAUACAUGCAAGUCGAGCGAACAGACGAGGAGCUUGCUCCUCUGACGUUAGCGGCGGACGGGUGAGUAACACGUGGAUAACCUACCUAUAAGACUGGGAUAACUUCGGGAAACCGGAGCUAAUACCGGAUAAUAUAUUGAACCGCAUGGUUCAAUAGUGAAAGACGGUUUUGCUGUCACUUAUAGAUGGAUCCGCGCCGCAUUAGCUAGUUGGUAAGGUAACGGCUUACCAAGGCAACGAUGCGUAGCCGACCUGAGAGGGUGAUCGGCCACACUGGAACUGAGACACGGUCCAGACUCCUACGGGAGGCAGCAGUAGGGAAUCUUCCGCAAUGGGCGAAAGCCUGACGGAGCAACGCCGCGUGAGUGAUGAAGGUCUUCGGAUCGUAAAACACUGUUAUUAGGGAAGAACAAAUGUGUAAGUAACUAUGCACGUCUUGACGGUACCUAAGCAGAAAGCCACGGCUAACUACGUG